rnacentral:rRNA from 1 species
CCUACGGGAGGCAGCAGUGAGGAAUAUUGGUCAAUGGCCGGAAGGCUGAACCAGCCAAGUCGCGUGAGGGAAUAAGGCCCUAUGGGUCGUAAACCUCUUUUGUCAGGGAGCAAAGGCGUCCACGUGUGGACGAGAGGAGAGUACCUGAAGAAAAAGCAUCGGCUAACUCCGUGCCAGCAGCCGCGGUAAUACGGAGGAUGCGAGCGUUAUCCGGAUUUAUUGGGUUUAAAGGGUGCGUAGGCGGAAGGUUAAGUCAGCGGUCAAAUGUCGGUGCUCAACACCGGCCUGCCGUUGAAACUGGUCUUCUUGAGUGAGCGAGAAGUAUGCGGAAUGCGUGGUGUAGCGGUGAAAUGCAUAGAUAUCACGCAGAACUCCGAUUGCGAAGGCAGCAUACCGGCGCUCAACUGACGCUGAGGCACGAAAGCGUGGGGAUCGAACAGGAUUAGAUACCCGAGUAGUC